UAGGGAAUCUUCCGCAAUGGACGAAAGUCUGACGGAGCAACGCCGCGUGAGUGAAGAAGGAUUUCGGUUCGUAAAACUCUGUUGUUAGGGAAGAAAAAAUGUAUAGUAACUAUAUACAAAAGAGACGGUACCUAACCAGAAAGCCACGGCUAACUACGUGCCAGCAGCCGCGGUAAUACGUAGGUGGCAAGCGUUGUCCGGAAUUAUUGGGCGUAAAGGGUGCGUAGGUGGUCUUUCAAGUCGGUGGUUAAAGGCUACGGCUCAACCGUAGUUAGCCUCCGAAACUGGAAGACUUGAGUGCAGGAGAGGAAAGUGGAAUUCCCAGUGUAGCGAUGAAAUGCGUAGAUAUUGGGAGGAACACCAGUAGCGAAGGCGGCUUUCUGGACUGCAACUGACACUGAGGCACGAAAGCGUGGGUAGCAAACAGG
rnacentral:rRNA from 1 species